rnacentral:tRNA from 2 species
GUCUCAGUAGCUCAAUUGGAUAGAGCAUCCCCCUCCUAAGGGGAAGGUUGGCAGUUCGAGCCUGCCCUGGGACACCA